UGAAACAUGCAGGGUCAAAUUUAGCCUAAAUUGCAGCCACAUGAAUUCCUUGAUUUGUUUCUUGAUUGUUUGACUUGAGGGUGAAGUAUCUAUUGAAGGUUGGCUAUUCCAAAGUCUAUAUAGGCAGACGAUUGUAGUAGAAGUGUCGGAGUAAGUUUGUGCGACAAAAGUUAUGUUUUAGUGAUAAAUUCUCAAACAACCUGAUAUCUCCAUAAUUGCAGUACUGUGCAGUCUUUCGUAAUCGCUGACUGUCUCCCUUAAUUGUUGCUGAAUUCUCGUAUUGAACUUGAAUCUCUGCACUAUUGCAGAAGGAGUCAGCCAAGUGUUGGUGUUUUUGUACCAGUGUGAUGAGUUGGGCAAAGGUUUUGUCGGUGGGCCUGAUUGGUGCCAAUAUAGAUCCUUGAAGAGUUGGAUGCAACACAAAAGACUCUGAUGGAAUAUUUUGGAGAUUUGGUAUCCAAGUUUGAAAUGGACCAGCUAUCAAACCUUGAUGAUACUACAGGAGUGUAUGAAGAGGAGUAUCCAACUGUAGCAGUUGUAGUGUAAACCAGGUUUCGGUACAAGUAUGUCAUACCACGUCACUAUCAGACCGCAUCUUAAGUGGAUGCAACACAAAAGACUCUGAUGGAAUAUUUUGGAGAUUUGGUAUCCAAGUUUGAAAUGGACCAGCUAUCAAACCUUGAUGAUACUACAGGAGUGUAUGAAGAGGAGUAUCCAACUGUAGCAGUUGUAGUGUAAACCAGGUUUCGGUACAAGUAUGUCAUACCACGUCACUAUCAGACCGCAUCUUAAGUGGUGAGUAGGUGUAGUGGUUAAUUAGUUAAAAAUGAUAUCAGCAUACACACGUGUAGUUUGUACCUCCAGUCCACAUCUAAUUUAAUUCAUGGCUAACAGUUUAUACAACUGCAAGUGUUAGUGACGAAUUCAGUCCGAGAUGUAGAAUGGAAUGUGCGUGGGAGUACGUCGCAUACUCCUCUUCAUACG